rnacentral:rRNA from 1 species
AGUGAAUAGAUACCCAGGUAGUCCACGCCGUAAACUAUGGAUGCUAGCUGUUAUGAGUAUCGACCCUCGUAGUAGCGUAGCUAACGCGUUAAGCAUCCCGCCUGUGGAGUACGGUCGCAAGACUAAAACAUAAAGGAAUUGACGGGGACCCGCACAAGCGGUGGAGCGUGUUGUUUAAUUCGAUGGUAAGCGAAGAACCUUACCCAGGCUUGACAUCCUGCCAAGGUCUCCGAAAGGAGAUUGUGCCUUCGGGCCGCAGUGACAGGUGAUGCAUGGCCGUCAUCAGCUCGUGUCGUGAGAUGUUUGGUUAAGUUCCAUCAACGAGCGCAACCCUUAUAGUUAGUUGUAUUUCUCUAGCUAGACUGCCCUGGUAACAGGGAGGAAGGGGGUGGUA